rnacentral:rRNA from 1 species
GAUGAACGCUGGCGGCGUGCUUAACACAUGCAAGUCGAACGAAGCACUUAGAACGGAUCACUUCGGUAUGAAGUUCUAUUUGACUGAGUGGCGGACGGGUGAGUAACGCGUGGGUAACCUGCCUCAUACAGGGGGAUAACAGUUAGAAAUGACUGCUAAUACCGCAUAAGCGCACGAAACCGCAUGGUUUUGUGUGAAAAACUCCGGUGGUAUGAGAUGGACCCGCGUCUGAUUAGCUUGUUGGCGGGGUAACGGCCCACCAAGGCGACGAUCAGUAGCCGGCCUGAGAGGGUGAACGGCCACAUUGGGACUGAGACACGGCCCAA